GACGAACGCUGGCGGCGUGCUUAACACAUGCAAGUCGAACGGAAAGGCCCUUCGGGGUGCUCGAGUGGCGAACGGGUGAGUAACACGUGGGUGAUCUGCCCUGCACUUUGGGAUAAGCCUGGGAAACUGGGUCUAAUACCGAAUAUGACUACAUGCUUCCUGGUGUGUGGUGGAAAGCUUUUGCGGUGUGGGAUGGGCCCGCGGCCUAUCAGCUUGUUGGUGGGGUAAUGGCCUACCAAGGCGACGACGGGUAGCCGGCCUGAGAGGGUGUCCGGCCACACUGGGACUGAGAUACGGCCCAGACUCCUACGGGAGGCAGCAGUGGGGAAUAUUGCACAAUGGGCGCAAGCCUGAUGCAGCGACGCCGCGUGAGGGAUGACGGCCUUCGGGUUGUAAACCUCUUUCAGCACAGACGAAGCGUGAGUGACGGUAUGUGCAGAAGAAGGACCGGCCAACUACGUG
rnacentral:rRNA from 1 species